GUAGUCCUACUUUCUCUGUAGAUCAG
rnacentral:piRNA from 1 species